GGACACCGUGGCUCAUGCCCGUAAUCCCAGCACUUUGGGAGCCCGAAGCGUUGGACCUGACCCUGCAGCCUGGGAACCCUGACCGGACCUCUCCUCUGAUUUGAAAGUACGCAGGCCUGGCUGACACCAGACACCACAGAGGUGUGGCCCCCACCAGACACAGCUACCAUUAAACCCCAUCUUGUUGCUCACUGGGUGUGUGGCCUUGGUUAACCACAAACCCGCCUAGAUGCCUCACUGGCAGGCCAGCUGAAAGCCAUCAUUUCUUAUCCAGCCCCUUAGGGACAGGAUUAGAAGAGUUACCUAAAAUGUAAGAUGUUGCAUUCCUAAAGCCCUGGCUGUAACCCAGGGGGACUCCAGGCAAGACGGCUGAUCCCAGCGACUUCACUCCUAAAUGAAACCAAAGUCACCUAGUAUCCUUGAGUGGCAUGACAUGGAGAAUGGCAAGUGAAACCAGAGCCUUCUUGGCAGUUAACUGAGGUGCUCUGAGAAGGUGGCAAAGGAAGAAAGCCUUGGCUUUAUUUAAAGGGGCAAUUAAAGUUCAGGAAGGAAAGGAAGUGUUGUUAUUCUUAAUUUUUCACACUCUCCCUGACCCCAACCACCAUUCCACAAAUAGCCCAGG
rnacentral:lncRNA from 10 species